rnacentral:rRNA from 1 species
AGCUUGCUCUUAUGGGUGGCGAGUGGCGGACGGGGGAGGAAUACAUCGGAAUCUACCUUUUCGUGGGGGAUAACGUAGGGAAACUUACSCUAAUACCGCAUACGACCUUCGGGUGAAAGCAGGGGACCUUCGGGCCUUGCGCGGAUAGAUGAGCCRAUGUCGGAUUAGCUAGUUGGCGGGGUAAAGGCCCACCAAGGCGACGAUCCGUAGCUGGUCUGAGAGGAUGAUCAGCCACWCUGGAACUGASACACGGYCCASACUCCUACGGGAGGCAGCAGUGGGGAAUAUKGGACAAUGGGCGCAAGCCUGAUCCAGCCAUACCGCGUGGGUGAAGAAGGCCUUCGGGUUGUAAAGCCCUUUUGUUGGGAAAGAAAAGCAGUCGGCUAAUACCCGGUUGUUCUGACGGUACCCAAAGAAUAAKCACCGGCUAACUUCGUGCCAGCAGCCGCGGUAAUACGAAGGGUGCAAGCGUUACUCGGAAUUACUGGGCGUAAAGCGUGCGUAGGUGGUUGUUUAAGUCUGUUGUGAAAGCCCUGGGCUCAACCUGGGAAUUGCAGUGGAUACUGGGCGACUAGAGUGUGGUAGAGGGUAGUGGAAUUCCCGGUGUAGCAGUGAAAUGCGUAGAGAUCGGGAGGAACAUCCAUGGCGAASGCAGCUACCUGGACCAACWCUGACACUGAGGCACGAAAGCGUGGGGAGMAAACAKGAUUAGAUACCCUGGUASUCCACGCCCUAAAMGAUGCGAACUGGAUGUUGGGUGCAAUUUGGCACGCAGUAUCGAAGCUAACGCGUUAAGUUCGCCGCCUGGGGAGUACGGUCG